rnacentral:rRNA from 1 species
AGCGAACGCUGGCGGCAGGCUUAACACAUGCAAGUCGAGCGGGCACUUCGGCGUCAGCGGCAGACGGGUGAGUAACACGUGGGAACGUACCCUUCGGUUCGGAAUAACGCUGGGAAACUAGCGCUAAUACCGGAUACGCCCUUUUGGGGAAAGGUUUACUGCCGAAGGAUCGGCCCGCGUCUGAUUAGCUAGUUGGUGGGGUAAUGGCCUACCAAGGCGACGAUCAGUAGCUGGUCUGAGAGGAUGAUCAGCCACACUGGGACUGAGACACGGCCCAGACUCCUACGGGAGGCAGCAGUGGGGAAUAUUGGACAAUGGGCGCAAGCCUGAUCCAGCCAUGCCGCGUGAGUGAUGAAGGCCUUAGGGUUGUAAAGCUCUUUUGUCCGGGACGAUAAUGACGGUACCGGAAGAAUAAGCCCCGGCUAACUUCGUG